UUACCCAGGGAGGCCCUCCCUCCAGCUCAACUUCAGCUCCUCCAGUUUUAGGCCCACAACACAACUCAAAGCCAGCUGCUCAAUCACUCUUGGCCCGCACUACCUGUUCCUUCUGUUUGUAGAGCCCGGCGCCCACCAAGGAAGCUACAGCUGUGUUUAUCACGUCUUUGCUUUUUCUCAGGACUUCUCCUCUGAGAGCCGUCUGCUCUCCGUCAUUGUCACAGAUCCAGCACCUUUUAUCAUCCGAGCGGUCGUCCUGCCGCUUACUCUGCUGCUUGUGACCGUCUGCCUGUACUCAUACUGUAAGGCCACCAGGGGGCGGAGAUCAGGCCGACAGGAGGACAUUGAGCUGGAUUUGUAUAACCUGGGUGUUGCCGCAGUUGAAGAGAAAGGAGUUCAGGAAGCAAAGUAGCAGCUCCAAGGAACUCAUCUUUCACACAUGGAUUUAUCAGCUCUUAUACCAGUUUUUAACCAAUAAUAUAAAAAUAUAGCUUGUUAUCUUUCCUCCGAACGUCAUCAACAAUGUGUAAGUGCCUCAUAUUUCCUGACUUCCUGUCAGCUACAAGCCCAUUGGUCCUUACUGAAGAUGCAGAUCUUUAAAAACAAAUUUGUUUUAUUUUGAAAAGUCCAAUCAGUCGGUACAGUUUGAAACCAAAGACACAUCAACCCAUGGAAUAUGUAGACAAUUAAGGUAACAUAUUUAAUUCCCAAGGUGUGAAUCUUAUUUGAUGACAUUUGGGCAAAUGAAUCAGCGCCACCUAGUGUUGGAUUUGUAGAUCUCGCACAUUGAGGGUUGGUGUUUGUGAUUUAUUUUUAAUACGAUGAACAAAUUAAACAAAGUAAAGUUUAUAAAAUCAGAGGUUUUUCACAACAAUUCAUCUCGUUAGUGAUAGUGAUUUUGUGUGAAUAAAGUGUUAUAGAUUUUUAAGAGUUUGUUUGUAUUUUGUAAUAUAACUUUUUUUAAAGGAUUCUGCUUUAUUGUGUAUUUUAGAAAUGUGUUCAAAUCCAUACUUUUACCUACUUUUAAUUAAGAAGGUGUUCUUAUUUCUUAUUAACUGUGCUCAGUUUUUUUUAAUGAAUUUGAAUUAAAUAACGCACAUGUGUAGCAGAAGCCUUCAGAAAUGAUAAAGAUGAGCAAGAUCACUGUAAUAAAUGUAUCACUGUCAUUUGCUUUGUCCAACACAAAUAAUAAAACUGCUUUAAUAA